AGGUAAGCGCCGAGGGCAUGGGGAUCAGUGUGCAAUCACCAUAGGAACAGCAGCCCAGUUCCAAUUGGUGAUUAACUGAAGUGCCCACCCCCGCAUCCUCUCUAAGAGGCUGGGUUGGCUGCACCCGCUCAUCACCCGCAGACCUACAGGAGGGAAGGGCAGCGAGCAGCUCUCCAUGGGUCACCAGCCAUCCCCCGGAGCCAGCGCGGCCUGUCCAGCCCUUGCCCUCCUCGUCCCUGGGGCUCUGCCAGAGUCAGCGGUGACUGAAUAUGAGAGGACCAGCAGAUGGAGGCUGAACAGGGACCACUUGUUAUCUCAGUGCUGUCCUCAGCUCUGGCCAGAGCAAGCUGACCAGGGGACAGAAAGAUGGCCCCAGAAGCAGGGCUUCCUGCAUCAGGAAACUCUGUUUCUCUACUUCCUUUUGGUCUCAGCAGAUCCUCACAGCAGGGAGUAGACAGAGAAAGGCUGGCAUCAAUCCUCCUGCAGCCCCUGGGCUCCAUCAUAACAGCAACUGCUCCUCACGGCGCACAUGGGACUCUGCUCUGAUCACAGUGCCAUGGAACAUUUCAAACACAGACUGUGCUGAAAUCUGUGCCAUUCCAGUACAGGCACACGUUUCUCCACACUCUCAAUUAUAUCAUAAAUUGACUGCAUCCGGCAACUACUCCAUGCCCUCCACUUCUAUCAUUUAUUCUGCAUUAGAAUGAGCAGUUUUGAUCCAUGAUGGCUGAAAAAAUUUUUCUUGGAUGUGUCAAAAUGAAAUGAAGAAAGAUUAUUAACCUGCAUGAUAAAAUUCAAGCUUUAUAACUUGAAGUGCCUUCAAGGAAAUGAUCUAAGAGUGACGGAUAGAGCAAUCAGGAAGCAAUUAGGAAUUGGUAAAAGUCUUUUAAUAAUGAGAAGAACAUCAUAAACAUCCUUCAGCUCAGGAAUAUUGAAAAACAAUUAUAUAAAUUAAUGUAACAUAGGUAAAACUGUAGCCUAAGAAUUGCAUGCACUUUGGGAAUUUGAAAGGUAGUUGCUGUUAGGGUAAAGUAUAAGAACUACCUCUACAGGAAAGAGGAAACAGAAGUUUAUGUGUAUCAUGGUGGAUUUUUGCCUACAAGAUUACAAAGGAAAUGUAAAGGGCCAGGACUGCUGGUGUACUCUCCAGCAUUGAGUGCACUGUGAGGCACAGGCAGGUGUCCAGUGAACAUCAGAUGAGUGGAUCAUAGAUGGGGUGGAAAGAGGAGUGGAUAGAUGGAUGGAUGAAUAGAUGGGUGGAUAGAUGGAUGGAUGGAUGAAUGGGUAGAUGGAUGUAAGGUAAAUAGAUGCAGUAUAGAUGGGUGGAUGGAUGGAUGGAUAGAGAGAUGGAGUGGAUGGAUGAGUGAUAAAUGGAUAGAUGGAUGGGUGGACAAAUGGAAGGCAGAUGAAUGCAAGCUAAAUGGAUCAGAGGAGGCAGAUGGAUAGGUAGAUAGAUGAGGUGGAUGAAUGGGUAGAUGGACAGGUAAGUAGGUGGAUGUGUGGGUAGAUGGAUGAAUAGGCAGAUGGAUGGAUGGAGAGAUGGAAAGGUGAGUCUAUAAGUAUUUACAAGUAUAGAUGGGUAUAUGGGUAAAAUUCAUGUGGGCCUGUAACCCCUUAAAUUCUGAAGAGCAGCUAGUAAGGCAAACUAUCAGUAGCUGAUAGUGUAGAUGGGGUAAACAGAUGAAUGGAUAGAUGGAUGGAUGAAUGUUAUGUGUCCAACCCUUAUUUAACGACAGCCUCACCAUCUAAAGUUUCCCCUCUCAAAGCAACCCACUGGCCAUAACUGCUGGUUUACUCUGCUUGUUUAUUCAAUGGAACUUUAUCCAAUGCUUUUGAAAAGCUGGACAUCAGAAUAUGUAAGAGGACCAUAUCUCUAUUCUGAUGAAACUUUGAACAUGGUUGAAAAAUCAUCUCGUGUAUUAUUCUCAAAAGUUAUUUGUUCUUUUUCUUACAUUUUUUUUAUCUUUUCUGCUUUUCUUUUAGGGACAGUAAUAAUUGUGUGAUGUGCUAAACUUAUGCUUCUUUGCAUCUGGCACUAUUACUUAACUAAUGUUAUUAUUUUUAUCUACACUUUACCCAUGAUCUACAUCACAACAGACAUUUUGCUGGGUGCUUUGUAUACAUGAAGACACUCUCAUUACUAUCAGGGGUCAUUAUCUUUAUACAGAGGUUUUGAAAACUCUGGCUUGAAUAGCUUGCAAACUGAGGUUGUUAAGAACACAGACUGCUUUGUUAAACUUAGUUUCAGAAUGCAGUGGCAUAGCUGAUGUGUAGAAGAUACCUACCCACUUGUCAUUCUGCUCUGGGGCCCCACAUGGUGGUCAUGAGAGGCUUUUUUUUAGAAGAUUAAAGGUGCAAUGCAGGCUCUAACCAAGGACCAUUCAUGACUCCCAGGUUUGCUCUUUAAUUUAUAAUCUUCUGCCUAUGCUGCGGUACCUGCUGCUGGUUCCUGGUUAUACUCAAAGCCUCAUGUGGUCACAGCUGACAGUUUUUAGAGGUGGAUGAUCUAGAGUGUGUGGCAUGGGAUCAAGAGUGUGUGAUGACUGAAUCAGUUCCCUGAUUGGUUUGGUGUUAUUCUGGCAAUGGAUAAUGGGAAGCUCACCUGCGUGUGAGUACUACCUGCUCUUAGGAUAGAAUAUCAGGGAUGCAAAGAGGACUACUGCUGCUCGCUUUCAACUUGGGACUUCACUGCUUUGCUGUCUUCUGUUUGCUGUGGGCUGUCUCUGCUCUGAGGCGCCCUUCUGCACCACCCUGACUUGAGCCAGCCAAAGGCGAUGGACUGAAACCUCCACAAACUGAGAGCUGAAUCAACCUUUCCCCCCCAACCUUGGGUGUGGGAUAUUUUGCCUCAGCGAUGAGAAGAGUAAUAAACAUUUUCACACCUCUAUCCCCUCAUAGCUACCUCAAGGACAGAGAGGUGGUGUGGCUACCUUUCCCUUGACUGCUGCCACCCACCUGAGACUCAGGCCUCCUUGAUGUUGCACCCGGGCCCCUGGGGGGACAUACAGCGCAGAGAACACAGGACUUAUGACUGCAGGAGCUGGUCAGGAACUUAAGUCCCUCACCAGCUGUUUGGGAACAUUGAGUCACUGCCCGGGGUCUCCGGCUUCUCAGAAAGACAGAAAUGUUGCCCUGGGGAGAUCAUUGCAACCACCACGUAAAAUAACACAACAGAGGUUGCUUUGCGAAUUUUAGGAAGGAAAAAUAAGAUGUCACUUGAGUGUAC